rnacentral:rRNA from 1 species
GAUACAGGCUAGCGGCGGACGGGUGAGUAACACGUGGGUAACCUGCCCAAGAGAUCGGGAUAACACCUGGAAACAGAUGCUAAUACCGGAUAACAACAGAUGAUGCCUAUCAACUGUUUAAAAGAUGGUUCUGCUAUCACUCUUGGAUGGACCUGCGGUGCAUUAGCUAGUUGGUAGGGUAACGGCCUACCAAGGCGAUGAUGCAUAGCCGAGUUGAGAGACUGAUAGGCCACAUUGGGACUGAGACACGGCCCAAACUCCUACGGGAGGCAGCAGUAGGGAAUCUUCCACAAUGGACGCAAGUCUGAUGGAGCAACGCCGCGUGAGUGAAGAAGGGUUUCGGCUCGUAAGGCUCUGUUGUUGGUG